rnacentral:rRNA from 1 species
UGACGUCAAAUCAUCAUGCCCCUUAUGACCUGGGCUACACACGUGCUACAAUGGUUGGUACAACGAGUUGCGAGUCGGUGACGGCGAGCUAAUCUCUUAAAGCCAAUCUCAGUUCGGAUUGUAGGCUGCAACUCGCCUACAUGAAGUCGGAAUCGCUAGUAAUCGCGGAUCAGCACGCCGCGGUGAAUACGUUCCCGGGCCUUGU